rnacentral:rRNA from 1 species
UACAUAGGGUGCGAGCGUUAAUCGGAAUUACUGGGCGUAAAGCGUGCGCAGGCGGUUCGUUGUGUCCGAUGUGAAAGCCCCGGGCUUAACCUGGGAAUGGCAUUGGAAACUGGCGAGCUUGAGUGCGGCAGAGGGGGGUGGAAUUCCGCGUGUAGCAGUGAAAUGCGUAGAGAUGCGGAGGAACACCGAUGGCGAAGGCAGCCCCCUGGGUCGACACUGACGCUCAGGCACGAAAGCGUGGGGAGCAAACAGG